rnacentral:rRNA from 1 species
GGGUUGUGAGGUUAAGCGACUAAGCGUACACGGUGGAUGCCCUGGCAGUCAGAGGCGAUGAAGGGCGUGCUAAUCUGCGAUAAGCGCCGGUAAGGUGAUAUGAACCGUUAUAACCGGCGAUACCCGAAUGGGGAAACCCAGUGUGAUUCGUCACACUAUCAUUAACUGAAUCCAUAGGUUAAUGAGGCGAACCGGGGGAACUGAAA